ACGGAGAGGGGAAAAAAAGGAGAAAAAGGGGGAAGCGGAAAUAGAGAAGAGGGAGAACGAAGGGGAGAAGAGAGCCGAGGAUGGAGAGGGAGGAGGAGAGGUCGCCGCUGUCCAGCUCGCACCACCAUCGUCACACACUACUACUGCCUCGUCGCCACCGCCGCACCUUGUUGUCGUAAUCAGAGCCACCACCGCUGUCUGUUGAAAGCAUUCGCGUCGCCGCCAGAACCCUUGCCGUCGUCGUUGCCAUUGGACGAAGGAGAGAGGAAAAGAUGCGAUGUACAUAGCAGCUCACUGCCGUGCUUCAUCUCCGCCGCUGCCAUGGACGCCGGUGAGUUGCACGGUGUCAUCGGGGUUUGAUGAGGAAGAUUCGUAGAUUGGGUUUUCCAAAAUCAAGGUUUGGAAUUUAGUGAAGAUUGGUUCAGUGGUUGGAUUCUUGGAGUUGCUGUUCUGCCAGCGCCGUUGCUGUAGCCGUGCCUCUAUUACCGGAAAACGGCGCCGUUGUCGCCGGAGAACCACCGUUGAAGCCGUUACUGCUCUGCUGCCGCCCCCGCUAGAGGUAGCUACUGGAGCUGCCGCCGGAACCCUUGUCUUCUUGGUUGGUCGUUUAGAUGGUAUGCAGCAGUUGUGUAAGGUCUUUGGUUGUUAAAGCUGGAACCUUUGCCAAAUGAGUGAGAAUAAAUAACACUAGGAGAAGUUUGCAAGCUGUCCCUAGUAUUUCUUAUUUGCCUACUCGUCAAUUCAAGACAUUCCCAGUGAUGAUGGUGGGUACGGGUUCCGUGUCAAGAAGUGCUGGUUCCCUUGUAGAUAUGAUGGCCGGUUUGCAAGUGGAGGGUGGAAUAGUGAGGAUGGAAGGCUUAGUUGUGGGUAUUCAAGCUUCAGGGGGAAGAUGGAGGACUGAGGACUUUUACGAUAUUAAAACAUUGAAAAUUGGUGGUAAUCCAAUAUGCUUACUUGGAAUAUUUGAUGGUCAUGGUGGUUUUCGUGCUGCAGAGUAUUUGAAAAAGCAUCUCUUUGAUAAUCUCAUGAAGCAUCCAUUUUUUUUACCGAUGCCAAAUUGAGAUUAUAGGACUAUAAUAUCAAAGGCUGGUAAGGCAAUUGCUCUCUGUGAGGAUCAUAAGCCAAACAGAAGUGAUGAACGGAAGAGGAAUUGAUGCGUUUAAACUAAAUUGAGGUAGGGGCGUUUUUAUUAAACUCAUUUUUAUUCUUAAGAGUUGUUAUAAAUUGAUAUUUAAGCAAAUAAUUAUUUUUAGUGAUUAUGGAGUCUUAUGAAUUGAACUGAAUUGUCUUGAAUGAAUGUGAUUGCUUACUUGACUGUGGUUAUUUCAGAAUAUUGAGUUGGUAUUGAGAUAGCUAGUGAAAGAUUAAUUUGAAAAUUCGAUUUGAAUGUUUAUCAAGUAUAAUUUGAGAAAUUGGAAAAAUGAUUUGAUGUUAGAGUUAGUUUGGGUUUGGAAAACGACUUGAGAUUUGUGAAUGACUCGGAUUUGAAACCGUUGGAAAGGGUUUGAGUAAAUGUUGGUUGGCUUUGUUGGAAAUGAAUUGAGAUCUGAAAAGGAUUAUAAUAUUGGAAAUGAGUUUGAUUUGUUGAAAAAUGAGUUUAAAUUGAAAAUGGACUAAGAUAUUGAAAUUGGUCUGAUUUUGAAGUUGAAUUGAAAGGAGUUUGAGAAAUGGUUUUGUUGGGACCCGAAAAGGGUGGCAGAAUCCGAUUUUUAGAGGAUAUGCUGUCGAAAUUUUAUAAAAUUAGAAGUUUCAUUUAAAGUAGUUAUUUUAAAAAGAUUUAAUUUUAAGCAUUAUAUGGUUUAAGAUUACUUUAUUUAUCAAAGAAAGAAUUAUGUUUUGUAUUGGGAUUGUUAAUGAACGGAAUGAAAAGAAGGAUGAUGAUGAUUUUCUUUGAAAUAUGGUUUUUGAAUGAAUUUGAAAAUGAGAUAUGGCUUAUGAAUUUGAAUUAUCUGAGAUACGAGGUUUCCUGGAUAAAGUGCCGUGGCUUGCCACCACGUGUACCAGGUUGAAAACUCGAUACUCUGUUGACCAUACGACGUAAGUGUGACCGGGCACUAUAUAAAUUUCCGGGUAUGUUACCCCCAUUGAGCAAUAUUGAUUAUUUGAGAAAAAGCUAUGCAUAGACUCUUGGAGAUGCACGUCGGGGGAUAGUCUAAGGACAAUUCAGACUUCUCAGGUUGGCUGGAUAACCGACAGAUGAGCCUCAUCAGCCAUAGGACAGGCAUGCAUCAUAUGCAUUUGUAUGCUUUGCUUGAGUUUGAACUUGUUUUGGUUUGUCUAAUUGCUAAACUGUUUAUAACUGCUACUUGAACUAUUUGCUGUAACUGCUGCCUACUUGUGCUUUCCUUGUCUGCCUUGCCUGUGUUUGUCCUGGCGUGUUACAUUUGAGAUUGAACUUUGAUGCUGAAUUAAUGAUUGUGUUGUUUGAUUGCGUGGUUAGUCUCUGAUUGAGAUUUUCUUAUAAGAAAGGAAAUGUCUCAGAUUUUUGAAAGAUUAAACAUUGUUUAUUUGAAAAGGUUUUGAACGAUUAUCUAUUGGUUUUUAAAAGAUUCAUAAGGCAAUGAUAAUCACUGAGUUCGAAAACAGUUUUCCUAUUAAAUAUCUUCUUAUGACAACUUUGAAACUCCGUGGUGAGACUGUGUGGUUAGGUUCUCACCCCCCCUACAGCUUUACCUUUUCAGGAACUGGAUGAAGAAGUUUUAAGAAGAGUUAUACUGCGUUUGGUUUAUUAAGUUGUUGUAUUAAUUAGAUUAUUUUCUUCCCUCGUCUUUGUUAUUACAAGUUUGUAAGAGGGAUAGGAAUUAUAUGUUUUAUAUGUAUAUUAUAUUAUGAG